GGGGGAUUAGCUCAGCUGGCUAGAGCGCCUGCUUUGCAAGCAGGAGGUCAUCGGUUCGACUCCGAUAUUCUCCAC
rnacentral:tRNA from 4 species